rnacentral:rRNA from 1 species
UACAGAGGGCGCGAGCGUUGUCCGGAAUCACUGGGCGUAAAGGGCGCGUAGGUGGCCACCAUAAGGCCGCGGUGAAAGUUCGGGGCUCAACCCCGGAUCGGCCGCGGCGACUGUGGGGCUCGGGUACUGUAGAGGCAGAUGGAAUUCCGGGUGUAGCGGUGGAAUGCGUAGAGAUCCGGAAGAACACCAGUGGCGAAGGCGGUCUGCUGGGCAGUGGGAUCGAAAGGUCCCUUUAACCGACACUGAGGCGCGACAGCGUGGGGAGCAAACAGG